ACGGGAGCUUGCUCCCUUAGGUCAGCGGCGGACGGGUGAGUAACACGUGGGUAACCUGCCUGUAAGACUGGGAUAACUCCGGGAAACCGGGGCUAAUACCGGAUGCUUGAUUGAACCGCAUGGUUCAAUCAUAAAAGGUGGCUUUUAGCUACCACUUGCAGAUGGACCCGCGGCGCAUUAGCUAGUUGGUGAGGUAACGGCUCACCAAGGCGACGAUGCGUAGCCGACCUGAGAGGGUGAUCGGCCACACUGGGACUGAGACACGGCCCAGACUCCUACGGGAGGCAGCAGUAGGGAAUCUUCCGCAAUGGACGAAAGUCUGACGGAGCAACGCCGCGUGAGUGAUGAAGGUUUUCGGAUCGUAAAACUCUGUUGUUAGGGAAGAACAAGUACCGUUCGAAUAGGGCGGUACCUUGACGGUACCUAACCAGAAAGCCACGGCUAACUACGUGCCAGCAGCCGCGGUAAUACGUAGGUGGCAAGCGUUGUCCGGAAUUAUUGGGCGUAAAGCGCGCGCAGGCGGUUUCUUAAGUCUGAUGUGAAAGCCCCCGGCUCAACCGGGGAGGGUCAUUGGAAACUGGGGAACUUGAGUGCAGAAGAGGAGAGUGGAAUUCCACGUGUAGCGGUGAAAUGCGUAGAGAUGUGGAGGAACACCAGUGGCGAAG
rnacentral:rRNA from 1 species